GUGGCUGUAGCUCAGUUGGUUAGAGUACCGGAUUGUGAUUCCGGAUGUCGGGGGUUCGAGUCCCCUCAGCCACCCCA
rnacentral:tRNA from 1 species